CUAGUUGUGAAGCUAGGACUGAAAGAAGCGAGACUACAAAUUUCGGUACUGAGGAACACGAACCAUAUACCGAGGCUAUGAGGUCGGAUGAGUAGGCACAUAACUGCGAAGUCCCAAAUAUCUUAUAUAGAUAAGCACCGAAGUAGUAGAUAUGGCAGGAAUCGAAAGAAAGAAGAUGUU
rfam:Galbibacter marinus strain ck-I2-15 contig58, whole genome shotgun sequence.